rnacentral:rRNA from 1 species
ACGCUGGCGGCACGCCUAACACAUGCAAGUCGAACGAAGUAGCAAUACUUAGUGGCAGACGGGUGAGUAACAUGUAGGUAUCUGCCCUUUGGCCUGGAAUAACACGAGGAAACUUGUGCUAAUACCGGAUAAGUCUUUACGGAGAAAGCUUUAUGCACCAUUGGAUGAGCCUGCACUUGAUUAGUUUGUUGGUGGGGUAAUGGCCUACCAAGACUGUGAUCAAUAGCUGAUUUGAGAGGAUGAUCAGCCACAUUGGGACUGAGACACGGCCCAAACUCCUACGGGAGGCAGCAGUGGGGAAUCUUGCACAAUGGAGGAAACUCUGAUGCAGCGAUGCCGCGUGAGUGAAGAAGGCCCUUGGGUUGUAAAGCUCUUUCGUCGGGGAAGAAAAUGACUGUACCCGAAUAAGAAGGUCCGGCUAACUUCGUGCCAGCAGCCGCGGUAAUACGAAGGGACCUAGCGUAGUUCGGAAUUACUGGGCUUAAAGAGUUCGUAGGUGGUUGAAAUAGUUGGUGGUGAAAUCCCAGAGCUUAACUCUGGAACUGCCAUCAAAACUUUUCAGCUAGAGUAUGAUAGAGGAAAGCAGAAUUUCUAGUGUAGAGGUGAAAUUCGUAGAUAUUAGAAAGAAUACCAAUUGCGAAGGCAGCUUUCUGGAUCAUUACUGACACUGAGGAACGAAAGCAUGGGUAGCGAAGAGGAUUAGAUACCCUCGUAGUCCAUGCCGUAAACGAUGUGUGUUAGACGUUGGAAAUUUAUUUUCAGUGUCGCAGGGAAACCGAUAAACACACCGCCUGGGGAGUACGACCGCAAGGUUAAAACUCAAAUGAAUUGACGGGGACCCGCACAAGUAGUGGAGCAUGUGGUUUAAUUCGAAGAUACGCGCAGAACCUUACCAACACUUGACAUGUUCGUCGCGACUCUAAGAGAUUAGAGUUUUCGGUUCGGCCGGACGAAACACAGGUGCUGCAUGGCUGUCGUCAGCUCGUGUCGUGAGAUGUUGGGUUAAGUCCCGCAACGAGCGCAACCCUCACUUUUAGUUGCCAUCAUUAAGUUGGGCACUCUGAAAGAACUGCCAGUGAUAAGCUGGAGGAAGGUGGGGAUGACGUCAAGUCCUCAUGGCCCUUACGUGUUGGGCUACACACGUGCUACAAUGGUAUCUACAACAGGAAGCAAGACUGCGAAGUUAAGCAAAUCCCUAAAAGAUACCUCAGUUCGGAUUGCACUCUGCAACUCGAGUGCAUGAAGCUGGAAUUACUAGUAAUCGUGGAUCAGCGUGCCACGGUGAAUGCGUUCCCGGGUCUUGUACACACCGC